rnacentral:ncRNA from 15 species
CUCUGUAGCUCAGUGGUUAGAGCAGGGGAUUCAUAAGCCCAAGGUCGCAGGUUCAAAUCCAGCCAGAGC